UACGUAGGGUGCAAGCGUUAAUCGGAAUUACUGGGCGUAAAGCGUGCGCAGGCGGUUCGGAAAGAGAGGUGUGAAAUCCCAGGGCUUAACCUUGGAACUGCACUUCUAACUACCGGGCUAGAGUACGUCAGAGGGGGGUAGAAUUCCACGUGUAGCAGUGAAAUGCGUAGAGAUGUGGAGGAAUACCGAUGGCGAAGGCAGCCCCCUGGGAUGAUACUGACGCUCAUGCACGAAAUCGUUGGGAGCAAACAGG
rnacentral:rRNA from 1 species